ensembl:lncRNA
GACGCUUUCAACAGGCAGAAUGUCGGGUUUAUGCUUUUUUUUCUCCUCUGUUGGGAUGAUGAUGAUGAAGACGAGGAGAGCAUGCUGUCACACAUGGCUCCUGACGACAGAUAAGAUGAGCUGGAGGUCCAGAGAUCCUGACAUUUCCUUAAUGCAUCUCACCUCUUUCUUUAUAAUUGGCUGCUGUUGAUAGAUUCCUCUUCUUUGCAUGCCAACACUCUGUAAUAACGCUCUGACAUCAGUCUCAGAGAGUGUUACCAUAUAUACACACCUGUGUCAUCACCGUUUGCAUGUCUCACACCAGCCAAAUCCUUUUUCUUAUGUUCUCAGGAAUCCUUCAUGUCCUGCAUGAAAUGAUGACUGACUCACGGACAACGGAAGGCAUCAUGAAUAGCUCCUCGGGUCUUCGAGCUCAGAAGAUGCUGCUCCAGCAGUGCUGUCAGAUCCUGUUUCUCCUGCUGUCUCCCUCUGAAGCUCCUCACACAAACACACACAUCCUAAAUUGUGUCGCCGCGGGGGAAAUGUGCCACACCGCCACCGAGCCGGAACCCAAAACUAAUUAUUCCCUUAAUCCAGCCAGAAGAGAGACGGAGAAAAAAUAAUUAGUGUAAACACACGGGGCACUGGAUCAUAGAGCAUUGUUAGAAAGACCUUGUUAAUAUCAUGUCUCGGAUUGUCCAUCUGGAGUUUGUGAAGAGCUUUUACAGGAAUUAAGGGAAAAAAAAAAACAAGGCUUUCGAAUAAAGCAAUAUAAAUUUGAAACAUCAUUUUGAAAUUUUUUUUUUUUUUUUUUUUUUUGUAAGACUUUACCCAUCUUGAAUUACACUUAAGAGUCCUGGUCUUUUAUUAAAUGAAUUCACACCUUGAUUUCAUCUGAAUUAUAUGCUUACAGUAGCUGCAGUGCUUUUCAAGUAAUUAUUAAUAAUUAAAGUGGCCUGAGACUUUUUAAUAGACUAAUUAGCAGCUAGAUGUGAUAGAAAGAUAAAAAGCUAAUUAUAAGAUGCAACAUUCAAGGCUUCGGUGCAUAUUCAUUGUAUAUCGAUGCAUAUCCGUAUUUUUGUUGUGUUAUUUAUUUUAUUUAUUUAUUGCCAUCUAUAGAGCCAUGCAUCCCAUCCAAAGGGGUCAAAGAGGUCAUUCUGCUUAUUGUAUGAUAUUUCCCACCUCCAGAUUAAUAUAUAUAUUGUUAAUUACACAGACUAUAGCCCACGAUGAGCAGAGGUGGGUAGUAACGAGUUACAUUUACUUCGUUACAUUUACUUGAGUAUUUUUUGGGGGGUAACUAAUACUUUUUGGAGUAUAUUUAAAGAUGGGGAGGCUAGUUUUACUCUUACUUGAGUAAUUUUUUGGGGAAAAAUCUGUACUUUACUUCUUUACUGUGGGCGACGCUCCUCUCGUUACUUAAUUUUAAUGCAAUAAAUGUUAUAAAUGCUUCAGUUUAUUCCAAACGCGCGUCUACAUUUCUCUGGACAAUGAGCGAUGCCCAUUCGCGAAUGAUUCAUUCUUUUGAGUCAAUUCUGUUCAAAGGCUUGAUCAAAGGAGUGAAUCGGUUCAUGAAUCAGUUUGAAUGAUUCGUUCAGUUCCCUGCCGCACGCGCUGAGCGUCUGAAGCGGUUCACUCAAAGAGUUGUAACGUUUAACAUCAGCAGCGUUGAAAACGUGGCUAAUCUGCAAAGGCUAUUAUUUGCUUGCGAUGGAGAUCCUUAUUAGAUGAACACCGCGUGUGCUGUCUACUGUUCAACAGGUAAUAACUUGGGCUACAUUCACUUACAGUACACGAUACCACUGUGACAUUAGUUUGUUAUACGUGUGUGGCUUAUAAAAGAGGGGAGUCAAGUUGAAUGCAGCAUCCAAGAGACAAAAAAUAGCCGAUUAAGAUUUUAUUAAUUUUAAUACGAGUAUGUUCAGCGAGUCAUAUCAUCAGCUGCUAAAUUCAGAUCUGUGUUUGCUUGCUGGCGCUGAGCCAGAGACAACGCGUUUUUACAGCGCUGCGCAUUAACCAAUCACACAAGAUUCUGUUGAGCUUUUGAAUGCAAUGGCCAAUCAGAGGCGUUCAGAUGAGUCAUCGCUGACGCUGAUGCUUCCUUCACUCGCUCACUGACUGAAUACCUCUUUCUGGCGAAUUCUCUCGUCAGAAACAACAAAGUGCAGAUAUGUAUACGAAUCUAUAAUUAAGAUAUUGAUUUCACAGUGUUAACAGUUUA